AUUUGUAGUCAUACCCUCUUCUCAAUGGCUAAUCUCAUCAGCUCUCAGAAGCUGAGUGGUGUUGGGCCUGGUUAGUAUAUCAAUGGGAGAUCACUGGGUAUACCCAGUGUCACAAUGG
rnacentral:rRNA from 1 species